rnacentral:rRNA from 1 species
UACGGGGGGGGCAAGCGUUGUUCGGAAUUACUGGGCGUAAAGGGCUCGUAGGCGGCCAACUAAGUCAGACGUGAAAUCCCUCGGCUUAACCGGGGAACUGCAUCUGAUACUGGAUGGCUUGAGUUCGGGAGAUGGAUGCGGAAUUCCAGGUGUAGCGGUGAAAUGCGUAGAUAUUAGGUGGAAUACCGGUGGCGAAGGCGGCCAACUGGCCUAGCAUUGACGCUGAGAUACGAAAGCGUGGGGAUCAAACAGG